rnacentral:rRNA from 1 species
UACGUAGGGGGCGAGCGUUGUCCGGAGUUACUGGGCGUAAAGCGCACGCAGGCGGUCGGCUGCGUAGGUGGUGACAGUCCUCGGCUUACCUGAGGAAGCGCUGCCUAAACGGGUCGACUUGAGGGCCAGAGAGGGACACGGAACUCCGGGUGGAGCGGUGAAAUGCGUAGAGAUCUGGAAGAACACCAAAGGCGAAGGCAACAUCCUGGGAAGUUCCUGACGCUCGGGUGCGAAAGCCAGGGGAGCGAACGGG